AUCCCUCCGGGCUAACUCAUAUAGGGCUUUGAAAUUUGAGCCUGUACAAAAGUAUACAAGGGAACAAAGCUUGCCGUGAGAGAUUAAGAAGGGAAAAAUUGAAUGAAAGGUUUUCAGAUUUAUGCUCUGUUCUGGAACCCAGGAGAGCUGUAAAAACAGACAAAAUGGCCAUACUUGGUGAUCUAAACCAGCUGAAGACUGAAUCUGAGGAAUACAAAGAGAUGAACCAAAAGCUUAUGGAAGACUUUGAAGACAAAAUGUUUUCGAAGAGAAAUUUGCACUACAAAGAGAGGAUGGAGCAAGAGUUGAAAGAGCAAGUUUUAUUCCACCUCAUCCAGCAGCAUAUCAGCCGGAUGGCCAUGUGCCAAUGUGGCAGUAUCUACAGCCAUCUUCGCGGGACACAUCUCAAGAUCAUAAGCUCAGCUGCUUGAGAAUCUUGCAAGAUAAUGUAUGGCAGAUAAUUUCUCUAGAUGGAAUUGGAUUUGAUUGACAUCUGCUACUUUU